rnacentral:lncRNA from 13 species
ACAGCUGCACUCAGAAUUCCUUCCUGUAACCACUCACUAACCUAACAUUCACCAAGCGCCUACUCAGUUCAGGAACCGUGUGCUAGCCCAGACUCCCAAGCAAAGCAGGCUACCUCCCUUCUCCAGGGAAAAAGCAAAGAAUGUACAAUGAGACUCAACUACAAUGUUCUUGGACUCUACUCCAAAUGAUGGUGGAGAAGAUCUUCCCUAUUCUUUUAUAGAUACUGCAAGGUUUUGUCCCUCAUUGCAACACAGGUAUCAGAGGCCAGAUCUGGAUGGGUCCAGUUGGUGGGACAUGGACGGCAAGAAGAGAGCAUCUGAGAAAGGCACAUUGGCAGCCAAGUAAGAUGCUGACAAUGAAUACACAGGACAGCUGCAGUGCAGGACUAUUUAGAGACCUAGGAUUUGAUGCUGUCUGCCUAACUCCGGAGCUAGAGCUCUAUCCACUCCCACCUGUAAAAUGUUCCUACUUUUCCAAUAAAUUACACUUGCAUAAUUGAAGAAUUACUGAAUUAUUUGAAAGUUCAAGAAUACCAAGCAAUAAUGACCAAAAGAAAAUUCCUUUGCACUAAAGUUUAAU